GCGGCCGGUGAUGAGGACUUCUCCCACUAUGUUCGAGUUUCCCGACCAUGAGAUGACUCCACAUGCACUACCAUCUGAGGCCAC
ensembl:snoRNA SNORD33 Small nucleolar RNA Z195/SNORD33/SNORD32 family